rnacentral:rRNA from 1 species
CCUACGGGUGGCAGCAGUGAGGAAUAUUGGUCAAUGGGCGAGAGCCUGAACCAGCCAAGUCGCGUGAAGGAUGACGGCCCUACGGGUUGUAAACUUCUUUUGUCAGGGAGCAAUUGGGUCCACGCGUGGGCUUAGCGAGAGUACCUGAAGAAAAAGCAUCGGCUAACACCGUCCCAGCAGCCGCGGUAAUACGGAGGAUGCGAUCGUUAUCCGGAUUUAUUGGGGUUAAAGGGUGCGUGGACGGAAUAUCAAGGCAGCGGUCAAAAUUCGGGGCUCAACCCCUGCGUGCCGUUGAAACUGAUGUUCUUGAGUGGGCGAGAGGUAUGCGGAAUGCGUGGUGUAGCGGUGAAAUGCAUAGAUAUCACGAAGAACUCCGAUUGCGAAGGCAGCAUACCGGCGCCCAACUGACGCUGAAGCACGAAAGCGUGGGUAUCGAACAGGAUUAGAUACCCGGGUAGUC